CGCCGGCCCAUUGGUCUGCCCGGGAAUCCAUUUCCAUAAAGAGGAUCUGGGCAUUUUGCUGAGGCAUCGCAACUCACCAUAUAUACCGUAUUUCAUUUUUCACUGUGUGGCUUUGGCAGUGUUUCUUUUCUUCCACAAGUGUGUGGAGGUCCUCCUCUUCUUCUUCUCCUCUUCUUCUUCUUCUUGUCCUGGUCUCGAUAGGUUGUGACGCCCCAAAAACACCAAGAUGUCUGAGAAAAAGAUGACUUCGAGCCGCAGGCAUCACCUGAAGGUAAGAAGUCUGAGCACAC